CUUCAUGCACCUACUACUGUUCAUUGGACUGCUGCCAAGCGCAUAGUGAGAUAUGUGAAAGAUACUAUGAGUCUUGGUCUUACAUUCACCAAAUCUUCAUCAACUCUUGUCAGUGCUUUUUCUGACUCUGAUUGGGCAGGAUGUAUAGAUGACAGACGCUCCACUGGUGGAUUUGCAGUUUUCUUUGGACCGAAUCUUAUAUCAUGGUGUGCAAAGAAACAAGCUACUGUAUCACGAUCUAGCAUUGAAGCUGAGUAUAAAGCAUUAGCAAAUGGCACCGCUGAGAUUAUCUGGGUUCAGUCCAUGUUGAGAGAGUUGGGUGUGAAGCAC
rnacentral:rRNA from 1 species